rnacentral:lncRNA from 1 species
UCUUUUGUUGAAAAAAAAACACCCCACACCACCCAAAAAAAUAAAUAAAUCAAUCUUGGAAACCUACCCUCCAAAACUGAACAAAUUCUUUGUUACAUGAAAGCUGCAUUUCACAGUCCAUUAUUAAUUGAUCCCAGCUCCUAGUAAGGACCACCACAGUAGGACAUUGUUUAGAUAUAUUAGAAGCCAUCUUUGGCAUUCAUAUAAAAAAAUUUACUCUUUUUGGAAUACCAAUAAUAGAGCCAACAUGUGUAUCAUAUAGUUUUACUAUUUAAUUCUGUGACUGGACUUGCUAUAGACCUUUCUCUUCAUUAUUCUCUAAGGUUAUGCAUCUUCUCAUAUAUCUUCCUCCACUAAAAUCUUGGAAUUCCAUUUUCAUAACUUUGGCUUUUUUU